rnacentral:lncRNA from 1 species
UAUCAGUGAUCGAUCUAAAUAACAAAAUCGAUGAGCUCCUCAAUCAAUGAAUCCGAAAUCAAGAUAUUUUGCUUGAUAUCUUUUUAUACAAUAAUUGUAUCUCUAUGUGAUCAGGAUUAAACAUAAAAAUCAUAUGUGAUUAAGGAUAGAAAAAUUAUGAAAAAAUUUCAAUAUAUUGUAAGUCCACGACUCUCCUAGGAUCAACCAAUCAAUCUUGAUUACGUAGGUAUCUGGACCCUCCACUGAUCCAUAAGACAUCUAGAGAGAGAAAUAAUUUAGA